GGGGCCUUAGCUCAGCUGGGAGAGCGCUACAAUGGCAUUGUAGAGGUCAGNNAGGCUCCACCA
rnacentral:tRNA from 1 species